UACGUAGGGUGCGAGCGUUAAUCGGAAUUACUGGGCGUAAAGCGUGCGCAGGCGGUUUUGUAAGCCAGAUGUGAAAUCCCCGGGCUUAACCUGGGAAUGGCAUUUGGGACUGCAAGGCUUGAGUGUGGCAGAGGAGACUGGAAUUCCUGGUGGUAGCAGUGAAAUGCGUAGAUAUCAGGAGGAACACCGAUGGCGAAGGCAGGUCUCUGGGCUAACACUGACGCUCAUGCACGAAAGCGUGGGGAGCAAACAGG
rnacentral:rRNA from 1 species